AACGUAGGUGGCAAGCGUUAUCCGGAAUUACUGGGCGUAAAGUGUGUGCAGGCGGGUGAGCAAGUUGUGUGUGAAAUCUCCCAGCUUAACUGGGAUAGGUUAUGCCAUACUGCUUUUCUAGAGGACGAGAGAGGGGGGUGGAAUUCCGGGUGUAGUGGUGAAAUGCGUAGAGAUCCGGAGGAACCCCAGAGGCGAAGGCGGCCCCCUGGCUCGUACCUGACGCUCAGCCACGAAAGCAUGGGGAGCGAACGGG
rnacentral:rRNA from 1 species